rnacentral:rRNA from 1 species
GGUUAAGUGAAUAAGGGCGCACGGUGGAUGCCUUGGCACUAGGAGCCGAUGAAGGACGGGACUAACACCGAUAUGCUUUGGGGAGCUGUAAGUAAGCUAUGAUCCAGAGAUUUCCGAAUGGGGGAACCCAAUAUCUUUUAUAGGAUAUUACUUUUCAGUGAAUACAUAGCUGAUUAGAGGUAGACGCAGAGAACUGAAACAUCUUAGUACCUGCAGGAAGAGAAAGAAAAUUCGAUUCCCUGAGUAGCGGCGAGCGAAACGGGAAGAGCCCAAACCAACAAGCUUGCUUGUUGGGGUUGUAGGACUCCAAUAUGGUAGUCUGUUAGUAUAGUUGAAGGAUUUGGAAAAUUCCGCUAAAGAGGGUGAAAGCCCCGUAGACGAAAUGCUGACAACACCUAGGAGGAUCCUGAGUACGGCGGAACACGAGAAAUUCCGUCGGAAUCCGCGGGGACCAUCCCGCAAGGC